rnacentral:piRNA from 1 species
UGGUUUACCGGAAAUUCUAGGGGUAGCACC